CUCAAAACUGUCCCUCUGAAACGGAUAUUCCUUGCACUCAAACUUGUGUCUUCUGUCAGUAUGUAAAUAUUGUCUUCUUUUGGUCAGGACCUAAAAACUCUGGUUGUUUUUUUUAUUUGCAUUUCUCAUCUCUGGUAUUAAAGGCAUUAUAUAGGCACCCAGACAACUAAAAUUCAACAGAGUGGCCUUGGUGCAGUGGUCCUGUCAUUCUUGUCCUAGAAUGUAAAGCAUUGCUGUUUUGGAGACACGCUUAUGUUUACAUUGAAUGGGGUAAAACAACUUUGGUGGAUGUCUGACAGCCAUUAGAUCAGGGGUGCCUGAAAUGUAGAUCCCCA